UGGGGAGUAUUGCACAAUGGGGAGGACCCUGAUGCAGCGACGCCGCGUGAGUGAAGAAGUAAUUCGUUAUGUAAAGCUCUAUCAGCAGGGAAGAAGAAAUGACGGUACCUGAGUAAGAAGCCCCGGCUAACUACGUGCCAGCAGCCGCGGUAAUACGUAGGGGCGAAGCGUUAUCCGGAUUUACUGGGUGUAAAGGGAGCGUAGACGGCGAUGCAAGCCAGAUGUGAAAGCCCGCGGCUCAACUGCGGGACUGCAUUUGGAACUGUAUGGCUGGAGUGCAGGAGAGGCAGGCGGAAUUCCUAGUGUAGCGGUGAAAUGCGUAGAUAUUAGGAGGAACACCAGUGGCGAAGGCGGCCUCUGGACUGUAACUGACGUUGAGGCUCGAAAGCGUGGGGAGCAAACAGGAUUAGAUACC
rnacentral:rRNA from 1 species